UAUUUUUUCAUUUCUCAUUUAUUUAAUAUUGAUUUUUUAAGUUUGAUGCAAUAAUUUAGAGAAUAUAAAUUUUAUCAGAGCUUUGUUAGAAGGUUAAUAUGUAUAUACUUAAAAAUAUGUCAAACAAUUUCAACUUCCACAACAGUGUUCAAUUUUGUACUUAAAAGUAUUAUUAUCAACACAAGUCAUUAAAAUUGUACUCUGUUUUUGUUUUCAUGGAUUUGUAUAUAAAACAUGAUAUAUAAGUAUAGUAAAGUAUUGAGCA